rnacentral:rRNA from 1 species
UACGUAGGGUGCGAGCGUUGUCCGGAAUUAUUGGGCGUAAAGGGCUCGUAGGCGGUUUGUCGCGUCGGGAGUGAAACCAUCUGGCUUAACUGGGUGCUUGCUUUCGAUACGGGCAGACUAGAGGUAUGCAGGGGAGAACGGAAUUCCUGGUGUAGCGGUGAAAUGCGCAGAUAUCAGGAGGAACACCGGUGGCGAAGGCGGUUCUCUGGGCAUGAUCUGACGCUGAGGAGCGAAAGUGUGGGGAGCGAACAGG